rnacentral:rRNA from 1 species
CUGGUCCUUGAUGUGCAGGAUAGGUGGGAGGCUUUGAAGCGCGGACGCCAGUUCGUGUGGAGCCAUCCUUGAAAUACCACCCUUUAAUGGCUGGUGUUCUAACGUAGACCCGUGAUCCGGGUUGCGGACAGUGUCUGGUGGGUAGUUUGACUGGGGCGGUCUCCUCCUAAAGAGUAACGGAGGAGCACGAAGGUUAGCUAAUCCUGGUCGGACAUCAGGAGGUUAGUGCAAAGGCAUAAGCUAGCUUGACUGCGAGCGUGACGGCGCGAGCAGGUGCGAAAGCAGGUCU